rnacentral:rRNA from 1 species
GAUGAACGCUAGCUACAGGCUUAACACAUGCAAGUCGAGGGACCGGCGCCCGGGUGAGUCACACGUCUCCAACCUGCCCUUUACUCGGGGAUAGCCUUUCGCAAGAAAGAUUAAUACCCGAUAUAAAGGAUGGGGUGGCGUUCCAUUAGUUUGUUGGUGUGGUAACGGAUCACCCAGCCUUCGAUGGAUAGGGGUUCUGAGAGGAAGGUCCCGCACAUUGGAACUUAGACACGGUCCAAACUCCUACGGGAGGAAGCAGUGAGGAAUAUUGGUCAAUGGGCGCUAGCCUGAACCAGCCAAGGAGCGUGCAGGAUGAAGGCUUAUGGGUCGUAAACUUCUUUUAUAUAAGAAUAUGUAUUAUAUGAAUAAGGAUCGGCUAACUCCGUGCCAGCAGCCGCGGUAAUAC